rnacentral:rRNA from 1 species
CCUACGGGAGGCUGCAGUAGGGAAUAUUGCUCAAUGGGGGAAACCCUGAAGCAGCAACGCCGCGUGGAGGAUGAAGGUUUUCGGAUUGUAAACUCCUUUUGUUAGAGAAGAUAAUGACGGUAUCUAACGAAUAAGCACCGGCUAACUCCGUGCCAGCAGCCGCGGUAAUACGGCGGGUGCAAGCGUUACUCGGAAUCACUGGGCGGAAAGUGCGCGUAGGCGGGUUUGCAAGUCAGAUGUGAAAUCCCAGGGCUUAACCAUAGAACUGCAUUUGAAACUGUGAUUCUAGAGUAUGGGAGAGGUAGGUGGAAUUCCAGGUGUAGGGGUAAAAUGCGUAGAGAUCAAGAGGAAUACUCAUGGCGAAGGCGACCUGCUAGAACAUAACUGACGCUGAGGCGCGAAAGCGUGGGGAGCAAACAGGAUUAGAUACCCUUGUAGUC